UGUGAAAGAUUGUAAACAGUAUGAUAAUAGCUAAACGUUGUUGACAAUCUCAAUGUGUUCAUCGUUCGCAUAGUGUUUUUACCUUUUCAUUACAGAAAACACCCGGCCACACGCGAAUUUCCUGUGAAUAGUAAAUAAGGAAGGAUUAGCAAAAUAUGCGACAACUGUCAUAGCGCUAUGAAACCCAGCGAAAGUUACAGUUAGACUUAUAUGAAUUCAUGAUUUAUGAAUAAACGGGAUUAUUUUACCAAUAUUGGAAUUUUCAUAUGGUGGAAUGUCAGGUUUUCGAUUGAUUAACUUAACAAGAUAUGGAGGCAGUUUCUGGUGUCAUGCCCUUUUAGUGUGCACAACAGAGAUAAAGUGAGCUAGGUAGUAUAAGAAAUGUCUGAACGUGCAGAAAACGAUAGUGGUCAUGAGCUUGACCUGCCCUUGUCAGCCAACAUACAUGAUGUCAGGGUGUCACACUUUCUCCUCCAUCUCAAGUGUGAUCUUGAAUCUAAAAGGUUGACAGGUGACAUCACUCUAUUUUAUCAGCAUAAGAACAGUAAACUAGACUGUGAGACUGUAUCACAAACUGAUGCCACACUGAACCCUGUGCAAACAAACUGUAAAAGCCAUUCCAAAGUCCAUCAAGCAAACACUGAUCCAAGUACAGCCACUGUACACGAUCCGGCACUGAAUGAUUUGUGUGAGCAUGAACGUAGAGAGAGUGAAGAUUUCUCAAAGACAGGGAACAUGAAUAUAUAUAGUGAUGAUUCUGUCAUUGUUCCAGCUACAUCAAGCAUACAAAGUGGAAAUGCAUUAGCUCGAUGCUCCGAUCAAGAGGCUCUUCAAUCUUUUUCUAUUCCAGAUAAAACAGAAACUCAAAAUUCACUACAUAUUUCCAAUCCUUGCCAGGAUGCAGUCAGGAUGGUAUUAGAUGCUUAUGACCUUGAUGUGAGCUGUGCUGAGGAGCUGAUACUGUCACCUGAUCUGGAAAGAAAGCUGUCCUUUGCCAAACGAGGAGAUGUAGAAAGUGCAUCCGGUGUUUAUAUGCAGUGUUACAUGCACUGUCAAACCAACCCCCUCCAGGUCUGUGUCAGUAAACACAGCAUCAGACUCGGGGGAGGAGGCGGGAAGGGUGAGGAUGGUCUUCUUCAGUCUCCGACUGGGUCUGGUGAGAGCAGGCUCCACCAGGUUCAUGGUGAGGUUGAUGAAGGUGAUGAUGACAAAAGUGAAUCGCAGACUAUAGCCGGAGAUGCUUACAUGAAGUGGGGGUCACUAGAUUCUGGUGGAGAGGGUGUGGCCCGUGGGGGUGGGAGUUGUAGAAAGACUUGCAGUGAAUACAGAGAUAAACAGGAUGCUGCACGUCACACGUGUGUCCAGGGUGAAGGUCAGAUACACAGAGACACACAACGUAGAAGGGAAGGUGUGACGAGAGCUGUGAGGAUACACUACAGGACAGCGGGAGGGCCGUCACUCAAGUGGACUCUGGAUCAAGAUGGAAAGGAGUGUGUGUUCACUGUUGGUCACUGGCUCAACAACCGCUCCUGGUUCCCCAGUCAGGAUGCUCCGGACGCCAUGUCUACCUGGCAGACUUGGGUCACAGUUCAGGAGGGGCUGACGGUGCUGAUGACUGGAGACAAGUCCUGUACACCGUCAAUGUCCCAGGGAUGGAAGACCUACUAUUACUACAGUACAAUGCCAAUGCCCACCUCCACACUAGCUAUAGCAGUCGGGACGUGGACACAGGUGGAUGUCGUGCUGGAGCCAGAUACUCCCAAGUCAAGCCAGCUACCAUGUUCCAGUCAUGGCUCAUCAUGUAUCGUGAACUACGCCACGGGGCCGGCUGUGCCGUGCCGUGUGUUUGUCUCCGAGUGCCUGGCCCCCCUUGUUCAGCGGGAGCUGGCGGUGUACCUCCCCCGGUGCCUGGGAGAAGUGUACUCCAUUCUCGGCCCCCACCCCUUCCAGAGGCUCGACAUCCUCAUUGUCCCCUAUUGUUUCGACAGUCUUGGCAUGGCGAGUCCCAGCCUGUUGGCGCUGUCCCAGUCCGCACUGGUGGGAGACAACUCCAUGUGUGUCCGAGUGGCCCACGAGAUCUGCCACUCCUGGUUCGGCCUACUGAUUGGUCCACAAGACUGGACGGAGGAGUGGCUGACAGAGGGCUUCUGUACAUACCUGGAGGACAUCGUCCAUGCCAGGGUCUGCCAGUGGGAUGAAGGUGAGAUGGGGGAUCGACUGGAACUACGAGCGUUGCUGAAACAGAAGACCCUGCUGGCAGAGGUCGAGAACACAGAGCAGGACCUCCAGAUGCUCCGACCAAACAAAGGGGAGCAACUCCUCCCAGCCAGUGAGGGGGUUCAGUAUGUGAAGGACGGGAUGAACCCAGAUAAGGCCUUCAUGCAGGUGCAUUACCUCAAGGGAUUUUUCCUGUUGCGGCACCUGCAGAACAAAGUUGGCCUCACAGAGUUCCUGCUCUUUCUCCGCCAUUACGUGGAUCGGUUCCAUGCCCAGCUUGUCACAUCACAGGACUUCUUGCAGUUCUUCUUCGAGGAAUUCCCCCAUCUGAGGACUGAGGAUCUGAGUGAAUUGCAGCUGACAGCAGAGUGGCUGGACUGUCCACACCUCCCCCAGGGUGUAUCUCUGUUUAAAGCCAGCUCAGAAAACAAUCUGUACAGUGCCGUGACGACACAGGUGGCUCUGGUGCAGUCGCACUGUCUCAAGAUGGGUCGCCGCCACAGGAACAACAAGAAGCAGAGAGUGGCCAACACGGAACUUACAUUGCAGGAGCUUGACUCUGACCAGCUGGUGCUGUUCCUCGAGGACCUGCUGCAGCUGCACCUCAUACAAGGAAGUGUCCUUGACCUUGUGCAUAAGACAUACCAGCUGCCAUCAGCUAAUCCAGAUGUUGCCCUGAUCUGGUGACACAAUGAUCACUGGAAGAACGAUCCACAUGCUGGUAUCUUGAGAGUCGGAGGUGCGUCACCGAUGGUGUGAGCUGGUCAUUAAACACAGACACACACCUGGAUAUGGCGAUGUCAAAACAUUCCUGCUGAAUGAUCAGGCCAUGGGUGUAUAUUUGUAUGGG
rnacentral:misc_RNA from 1 species